rnacentral:rRNA from 1 species
GUAGUUAGCCGGGGCUUCCUCCCGAGGUACCGUCACUUUCUUCGUCCCUCAGGACAGAGGUUUACAAUCCGAGAACCUUCUUCCCUCACGCGGCGUUGCUGGGUAAGGCUUUCGCCCAUUGCCCAAUAUUCCCCACUGCUGCCUCCCGUAGGAGUCUGGGCCGUGUCUCAGUCCCAGUGUGGCCGAUCACCCUCUCAGGUCGGCUACCCAUCGCUGACUUGGUGGGCCGUUACCCCGCCAACUAUCUAAUGGGACGCGAACACCCCCUGUACCGGAUUGCUCCUUUGACCCCUGUUCGAUGCCGAACCGUGGUCUUAUGCGGUAUUAGCAGAUGUUUCCAUCUGUUAUCCCCCUGUACAGGACAGCUUGUUCACGCGUUACUCACCCGUCCGCCGCUAGAAGCUUUCCGAAGAAAACUUCUCGCUCGACUUGCAUGUGUUAAGCACGCCGCCAGCGUUCGUCCUGAGCCAUAAUCAAACUCUGA